rnacentral:lncRNA from 1 species
GCCUCUGAAUCCGGAGCUGUAGGAAGCAAAAAGUCGAACUGCAAGAACACAGUGAGAGAAAUGGGCAGAUGCCUUAAGGCUAGGGUAGCUGGGGGAAGGGCGCACGCGAGAACUGAACAGAUACCGCACCAGCAACCAGAAAUCAAGUCCGGCUCAGCAAAGGAUGUUCUUUAAUAUGAGAAGCUGAUUGGUUGUUUCCUCUGCUUCUGCUGAUGUCCAAUUAAAAGAAUGAAACCGGAGAAAGAUAGCUUCUUGGAAGCCCUACUUAUAAUCUAAUUAGUGAACCAGAGAGAGAACUUAGCAUCUCUGACCUUCAUGCUAACCUUCAGGGCCUUUCUGCUUCAGAGUAGAACAAGCAAACUCAGUUUAAAUGCCAGAGAUUUUCAAGGAAUGGAACAAAGAAAGCAGAGUGACAGGAAUGAAAGACACUGAAAAAGUCCUCACUGGCAGGAAUUUAUUCUUGUUACUUCUGCAUACCAUCAACGAUGUUUGCAUCUUCAUCAAGGCUAGACAUCUCUUCCUGUGAACUUGGGAUGGAUGGAAGAUGUCUGUGGAAGGAUGCAGAUGAUGAGGCCAUUAAGAACUCAACUGUGAUGGACAGUCUUUUUCAAAUUAUUGUUAUUAUUAUUAUUAUGUGUAUUUUAUUUUUCCAUAGUAUCUGACCACCCUCUCUAUUACAAAUCAUACUUAAUGUUGUCACUUAUGGUACAGUAUACACAUAGCACCAUAAAAACAAGCCAUGGAGUUAGCCCUCACUACUGCAUGAAUGUCUGAAGGACAGGUACCAUCGGCUAUCUUUCUAGCCUGCAUCAAUUAUCCUGUCUACUGCUGCAUGUCCAUUUUUACCUAUCAUUAAGAUUCACAAAAACUUAAGUUACUUAAAAAUUAAACAUUUAAAUGUUUGUUGACAAAACAAUAAACAUGAAAAAUUUUUCCUAUUACCUUGGCCAAUAAAAAAUUUAGAAUUUCUAGUUACUAGGCACACAGGACUCUAAAGUAUGCUAUACCUUGCCUGCUUUGAGCUACAAAUAUAUUCUAUUUUCUUGUGACACCACCUUUACAGGAAGACUUCUCGCUGACCCCAUAUGCUUGAUGGCUUUGGGGUCUUCUUUCCAGGGCUUCACAUAGCUGCUGUCUUCCUAAGGCUAAAUUGCCUAUUUGACAGUAGAAUAAUGAAAGUCAUUUCAAGGUUGCUUCUGUCAAAGCCACUAGGGCCAGCAUUCUGGGGACUGCUCUGGAUAUAAAGUGCUUAAUUGAAAGUAAUCAAUGCCACAAAUCAAUUCAGGAUUUAGCAUCAAACACUGUUUGCUGAACAGGACCAGGAAGGAAAUCCCUGGUCUCAUAAAACACAGGAAAACCACAAAGUGGAAGCUUCAUUCUAGCUUAUUCUGCCUUCCUUAAAAGGUGGUGGCAUGAGCCAAUUAUACAGAAGCUAGAAUGCAAGGAUAAAAUAGAAAAUUGAUUUAACUUUUUUAUUUAAUAAAAAGGAUCUAAAAAUUU